rnacentral:rRNA from 1 species
AGGUUAAGUUAGAAAGGGCGCACGGUGAAUGCCUUGGCACUAGGAGCCGAUGAAGGACGGUACUAAC